AUUGAACGCUGGCGGCAGGCCUAACACAUGCAAGUCGAGCGGUAACAGGGGAAGCUUGCUUCUCGCUGACGAGCGGCGGACGGGUGAGUAAUGUAUGGGGAUCUGCCCGAUAGAGGGGGAUAACCACUGGAAACGGUGGCUAAUACCGCAUAAUCUCUUAGGAGCAAAGCAGGGGAACUUCGGUCCUUGCGCUAUCGGAUGAACCCAUAUGGGAUUAGCUAGUAGGUGAGGUAAUGGCUCACCUAGGCGACGAUCCCUAGCUGGUCUGAGAGGAUGAUCAGCCACACUGGGACUGAGACACGGCCCA
rnacentral:rRNA from 1 species